rnacentral:rRNA from 1 species
CAGCCCUAAACGAUGCGCGUUAGGUGUAUCGGUGACCACGAGUCACCGAGGUGCCGAAGGGAAACCGUGAAACGUGCCGCCUGGGAAGUACGGUCGCAAGGCUGAAACUUAAAGGAAUUGACGGGGGAGCACCACAACGGGUGGAGCCUGCGGUUUAAUUGGACUCAACGCCGGGAAGCUCACCGGAUAAGACAGCGGAAUGAUUGCCGGGCUGAAGACCCUGCAUGACCAGCUGAGAGGAGGUGCAUGGCGUAGUCGUGU